AUUGAACGCUGGCGGCAGGCCUAACACAUGCAAGUCGAAUGGUAACAGGAAACAGCUUGCUGUUUCGCUGACGAGUGGCGGACGGGUGAGUAAUGUCUGGGAAACUGCCUGAUGGAGGGGGAUAACUACUGGAAACGGUAGCUAAUACCGCAUAACGUCGCAAGACCAAAGAGGGGGACCUUCGGGCCUCUUGCCAUCAGAUGUGCCCAGAUGGGAUUAGCUAGUAGGUGGGGUAACGGCUCACCUAGGCGACGAUCCCUAGCUGGUCUGAGAGGAUGACCAGCCACACUGGAACUGAGACACGGUCCAGACUCCUACGGGAGGCAGCAGUGGGGAAAAUUGCACAAUGGGCGCAAGCCUGAUGCAGCCAUGCCGCGUGUAUGAAGAAGGCCUUCGGGUUGUAAAGUACUUUCAGCGGGGAGGAAGGGAGUAAAGUUAAUACCUUUGCUCAUUGACGUUACCCGCAGAAGAAGCACCGGCUAACUCCGUG
rnacentral:rRNA from 1 species